GGGCCACAAUGUAUAUAAUAAUAAAGAUAUUAUAGAAGAUAUUUAGUAGGAAGGAAAAAAAAAACAACUCAACCAAAAUGACCUAAUAGUUUAUACAAAAAAUAGAAAAAUAUAAAGUUAUAAACUAUGUCUAACACAGAUUACAAACUAACAAAUGAACACAAAUGCCAUAUCUAUCAACUUAACCACAAAUUUAUUUAUACAUAUAAAAAGCCAAUAGAAAAUUUAAAGAGAUAGAUAUGGGAAGAUAUU
rnacentral:lncRNA from 1 species